rnacentral:rRNA from 1 species
GAAUGACUCUCGGCAACGGAUAUCUCGGCUCUUGCAUCGAUGAAGAACGUAGCGAAAUGCGAUACUUGGUGUGAAUUGCAGAAUCCCGUGAACCAUCGAGUCUUUGAACGCAAGUUGCGCCCGAAGCCAUUAGGCUGAGGGCACGCCUGCCUGGGUGUCACA